ACUGAACGCUGGCGGCAUGCCUUACACAUGCAAGUCGAACGGCAGCACGGGUGCUUGCACCUGGUGGCGAGUGGCGAACGGGUGAGUAAUAUAUCGGAACGUACCUUAUUGUGGGGGAUAACGCAGCGAAAGCUGUGCUAAUACCGCAUAAUCCCUAAGGGGGAAAGCGGGGGACCGUAAGGCCUCGCGCAAUUAGAGCGGCCGAUACCUGAUUAGCUAGUUGGUGAGGUAAAGGCUCACCAAGGCAACGAUCAGUAGCUGGUCUGAGAGGACGAUCAGCCACACUGGGACUGAGACACGGCCCAGACUCCUACGGGAGGCAGCAGUGGGGAAUUUUGGACAAUGGGGGCAACCCUGAUCCAGCAAUGCCGCGUGAGGGAAGAAGGCCUUCGGGUUGUAAAGCUCUUUUGUCAGGAAGAAACAGCAGCUCUAACACAGUUUGCGAAUGACGGUACCUGAAGAAUAAGCACCGACUAACUACGUGCCAGCAGCCGCCGUAA
rnacentral:rRNA from 1 species